rnacentral:lncRNA from 1 species
UAAUCUCUUUCUAUUCCAUCAGCCGCUCUCUCACAUCUCAGCUCUCACCCCACGAUUGAAAAAACAUCCAGAUCUGUGAGACAAGAUCUGAAAAUCAAAGAUCCAAUAAUCCAAAAAUCGAAGAUCCAAGAUUGUUCAUAUGAUUUUUGUUCAAAGAUUUGUUCACACGAUUUCCAUUCACCCUUUGGGGUUUUUGUGGUUUCAUAUGUGCUUUGAAAGUUGGAAGGAUGGAUUGGAAUCUGAUGCAUAGAUUAGGAAGAUUAUGUUUUUAUUUCGACUUUUAAGACAAUGUUUUGCUUUAUGUUGGAUAUGUUAUGUGAUUUAGAACAAUGGAUUGUGUUGGUUUUUUUUUUUUUGAACAUCGGAUCUUUAAUCUUUUAUUUGCUGUUUGGUUUGUU